GACGAACGCUGGCGGCGUGCCUAACACAUGCAAGUCGAGCGGAGUGGCGAACGGGUGAGUAACGCGUGAGUAACUGCCCCCCUCUCUGGGAUAACAGUUGGCAACGGCUGCUAAUACCGGAUAGUGGGGGAUGGCUCGCGUCCUAUCAGCUUGUUGGUGGGGUAUUGGCAUACCAAGGCGACGACGGGUAGCCGGCCUGAGAGGGAGACCGGCCACAUUGGGAUGAGUUACGGCCUAAAAUCCUACGGGAGGCAGCAGUGGGGAAUAUGGCACAAUGGGUGAACCCCUGAUGCAGCAACGCCGCGUGCGGGAUGACGGCCGUCGGGUUGUAAACCGCUUGCAGCCAUGACGCGGUAGUGGCAGAAGAAGCACCGGCUAACUACGUGCCAGCAGCCGCGGUAAUAC
rnacentral:rRNA from 1 species